rnacentral:misc_RNA from 1 species
UCUUUUCUUUUUUUUUUUUUCUUUGGUAUAUAUUUUUAAUUGGGUUUGUUAGUUUAAUGAGAUUUUGAUAACUAAUUAUCACCAGCGAUACUAAAUCCAAAAACUACCUAAUGCAUCAAUAUAGGAUUCUUAUAGAUCCCAAAUAUCAAGUUUAAAUAGUAGUAUUUUUUGUCAAUGAAAAUGCUCAUUAAAGAUGAAAAUAAAGAAGGCA